UACGAAGGGUGCAAACGUUGCUCGGAAUUAUUGGGCGUAAAGCGCACGUAGGCGGCUUGGCAAGUCGGAUGUGAAAUCCCUCGGCUCAACCAAGGAAGUGCAUCCGAAACUGCCGAGCUUGAGUACUUAAGAGGAUCGCGGAAUUCCCGGUGUAGAGGUGAAAUUCGUAGAUAUCGAGAGGAACACCUGCGGCGAAGGCGGGUUGCUGGGCUGACACUGACGCUGAUGCGCGAAAGCUAGGGGAGCGAACGGG
rnacentral:rRNA from 1 species